UACAGCAGCUGCAAAGCAAACCUCUAUUAAUCAUCCUGGGGACAGUCCCUGCUGAUCAGCAGCACAGAGCAGCCCAGCCUCCAGCUGAAACCUCUGACCGAGUUCUACUGCUGUUUUGCUGCACGUGAGCGCUGCACCCAUGCUGCUGGAGCAGAAGUGUAAAGAAUGUGUGUGUAUGUGUGAGUGUAUGCAUGGCCUGUGUCUGGGUCUGCUGCUGCAGUGUGGAGGGGGAAUUUAGUUAACAACAGAAGCUAUGCAAAAUGUUUUGCCUCCUUUGGUUCCUCCGUAAGGUGCUGCUAACCAAGUUGGUACGGUCUCUGCUACAGUGCACUGGGCUUGCACGUAGCUGGAAAAAUGUUUUCCAUUCCCAUGUAUUAUUCACUGUAAGAUUUGAAUAUUUUAUCUAAGGCAGGUUCUUGAUAUUUGCUUACAUUCACUUUCUCUUUCUUUCCCUUUCCUCCUCCACAGCCCAGAGAAUAACUAAGGUGAAAAUACAAAGUCAGUAUCUAACUUGUCUCCUGCAAACAAGGAGAGUGAGAGAUGUUGAUGGAAACUGGCUGUAAUUGAAAACAACUGUUGUAUGGAGAAGGCAAGGCUGGGAGAUAUGUGAAAAAUCCUUGUUGCUUGCCUCUUAGAAAUAUGAGGAUAAUUUAUUCUUAGGAUGAGAGUUGCCACUAUUGAAGAAAGGGAUGCAGGCAGCAGAAACCUCUUCUCUAGGAGGUUUUCCUGCAUUAAGUAUUCUUUAAUUUCUAUUUCUGCUGCAUGUAACAUUUUGGUACUAACGGGACACAUUCUCAAGUUUAAGAACAGUGGCUGAAAGGUGACAUGUCCCUCUAGAGCUUACAGCUCUAAACCUGCUGGCAUCUGUAGCGCUUGAAAGAGAACUCUGUCACCAUCCCUUGUUUGGCUGUGUAUGGCUGGACACACCACUUGAUCCCAUGUAAUCAUGAGAAUUUCUGAGUGGGAAAUGUCUCUUGUGCCAAAUUGCCUUGCCAUUUCUAAUUGCAAAGCCUUCCUUGCAGCCAUGGGUAAGCAAAGGGGUUUCCCAGCUCAGUCAGCAGGUUUUACAGAUGUUGUGUGGUCUCUGCCACUAAAUGUGAUGGCUUAGUUUAUUCAAGUGCAAAGUUAGAACAAGCAAAUGAGCCCUGGAAAGCCCUGCAACUGGCUAGCUGUAAUCAGCAAGGUAGUCAUGGAUUCCUCCUAAAGCUCUUUGGAUGGAAGCUGUGGCCUUAGGAAAGGAAGGGAUCCCAGAGGAUGCCUAAUCUUACAUGUAGCAUGAGUCUUCCUAACAGCCUCACAGCAAAUUCCCAGAGAAAUCCCAGCACCAUGGAAGUCAAAUGGCUUCAAAAAAGAGGAGGAGUCUUUUUGAGUCCUAAGCCAGACCUUCCAUGUUUUUGUUAGUCAGGUUGUUCAGAACAGAAAUAUUCUGCUUUGAGAACCUGGGCUUUAUUGUCUUACUGGGGCUGAUGUUGUUUUGAUACACAAAGAGCAAUCACCAUCAUUUCUGCAGUAUCCAGGAUAGAUUUCCCUCCACUGACAUUGGCAGAUAUCACUGACUUAAUUCUGACUUGAUGCUAGUGGAGAAAACCCACCCCUUGCUAUUUUAUCCUGUGUAAAGACAGUGAGCAUUUUAAAGUGCAGUUUUUCUGUUAUAAUGUGCCAGCUGGACAAAUAUUCUGUUCCCUCCCCUCUCUACUGACACUAGCUGCGGAUGAAGAUUUUCUCUGUUUAGUCUGGUGAAUAAAUUGGUGUGGGCUUAUUUGCUUGCUGUCUUUUUUCUCAUCUCCGUGACUUUUGUGGUGGCAGCUGGUCUUUGGAGCAUGAACAGCAGUUAUCAAAUGUUCAGACUGCAAGGUCAGCUCACUGCUGAAGAGCCAAACUGGUCUUUGAGUUUUCCUUAACUGGUGGAGCACCAACCUCUCUUUUGUAGCAGAGGUGGUUGCUAGCUGGAAAUAACUCACCAAUAACUCAAAAAUAACUUUUAGGGGCUUGCAUCAUUCUCUUCCACGCUGCACAUUCUCUGCUCCCAUUAUUUCUCCCAGGCACUGGGAGGAGCAAUUUCUUCUUUUCUGACCUUUUAAGUCUCCCUUCUCUCAGCAGACACAAAAGAAGUUCCACCCAAUGUGCUGAUACUCUGCGCUCUCCUUAAAAUUCUCAAUGCUGACUAGCCAAGCAGCUGUACAAGGAAUGAAACAAAGAGCCUCGGAUCCUCAGUGCUGGGAAAUGUGGUCAUGGGAUUUUUUUGUAGUUACAAACUCUUUCACUCCCAAGUUGCCUUCGUGCUGCAGCUGUACAAGUGGUUUCAAGCUUCACUGUAUAAAUACUCUUGGUUUUUUCUAAUUGGAGAGGAUUGUGAUGAAAAGCUGAAUGUUGCAAUGGCCUUUCACAGAAGCACAAAUAACCUUUUAGAGGACAAGUAACACAUUACAGGAUUGAAAAGCUGAUGCAUUGUCCUUGUGCAGCCCCAGGUAAAUGUGAGGGGUCCUAGCAAAUGUGUCAGCUGUUCCACUUGAAAAAAAAAAACAACUUUGUCCUUUUCCUCCUGGCCCUGAGCCAAAGUGUAGCAAACCUCUGGUUUACCUUUCUACUGAAGCAUACCAGAUCAUCAGCUGCUCAAAGGCAAUCUUCUUUUAUUUAUAUGCAUUUACUAACUUUAGAGCCAAGGUCAUCUCAAACUGUGUACAAAGAAACCUAUUCUGAAAGAAAUUUCAUUUCUUUGAGCCCACAGUUUUGAAAGGCUUCUGUCAAAAUACAGGGAAUAAACUUCCCAGCAAGUUCCCACAAUCAUGAAAUGAUUUCUUUCAAAAUGAGAAUAUUUUAUUAAAAAAAAAAACAGAAAAAAUUAUUAAAAAGUUCUAAAGUUCUAAUCCCUAGUAAUACAAUAUUUUUUUGAAGAUUAAAAACUUGCUCAUUAGAAAUAGACAAACUAACAGGGCCACCUAGUGAUAUCCCUAUAGACAAGGCACAGCAAGGACCAUGGCAGAUCCCAGCCUAAUCACCAACCUGCUCCCUGCAGAUGAGGAGGAACCAAGAAGGACAAGCUGGUAUCUGUAUUCCCAGGCACUCUGGGGUUCCCACCAGAAACUGGCCUCGUUGUAAAGAGAUCUCUUUACAAUGUCUUGGCUCAAACAGAGUGCCUGCUCUGGAUGGUCUAAUGCUAUUUCUAGGGAGAGGCAACCAAUCAUGAAUGUUAUGAAAGAGCCUGCAUCAGAAUUCACCUCCCAAAGCUCAAGAUAAUACCUUCUCUGGAAAGGAAGGUUACCACACUGUUCCGAGGCAAAAUUGUGACUAAAUCCAGGUGCUUUAAAAGUUUCUUCCCUUUUUUUUUUUUUUUAAGGUUUUCUGGCAAACCAUAUAACCACUUUACUGCUUUUUGCUGCCUGAUUUCUCUAUGCCUAUAAGGGCAGUGUGGUCAGCACACUGCAAGCUGCAACUUUGCAUAAAAAGCUUGGCAUUAGCUAUGCUUGAAGGAAAGCCUUUAUUUCUCCUACCAAUUCCCCAGCAGGCAGAUGCACUUCACCUCCUGACUUAUGAGUCAGUGACACUGUAAGUGUGAUAGGAUUCAUGACCGAGGAAGAAGCCUUGAGACAACAAAGUUUAAGCGUUGAGCAGCUUCACUGGUUUCUCGUGGAACUCCCACUAACAGGCUGUUAGCUCGACACUGUGGUCAACUUUUGCAGGAAUACAGGUGGGUAAAAUCAUCUUGGCUGCUCACCCUCAGCAUUUGUGGGAGGGCAAUUACGAGCUCAUUCAAUGACUUAGAUGAGGACAGGCCAUGAGGUCUUUGCAGAAGUUGGCAGAUUAGCCUAAGAGAUCUUCAAUAUGUAUUUUCUGCUAGGAAAAAGCUAGGCCAGGUCAGCUGAGGCAAUUUUAUUUUGGCAGCCCACUCUUUCCUGGGACUGUGGGAAUGUGUGCAUGUUUUCCAAGGAGCAAAUCUGGUUUCAGUGAUCAUCUGAUGAAGCCCACGCUUCAUGUGCAAUCUGCCUUCAUCAAGCAUGACCAAGGACUUGCAGUGCCUAUACUGAGACCUGGCAGGGGCUCUACCAGGGGUUCCUACUGCUCUGACGGGUCAUGGGACUUUCUUUGGCAACAGGAGGAAUUCCUGAUGACAGUUUAUCACAUCACUAUCAAGGAGGUUGAUGAAAAUUCAUUCAGCUGUCCUGGUGCUGGCUGUUAUAUUCCUUUUUUCUAUGACUCACAGUUAAAAUAAUAGCAUAGGUCUGUGUGUGUCACAUUUGCACAUAACUUGUACAGAUUUGUAAGUGCAAAGAUAUAUGUGACCUGGGCUUUAUUUGAACAUGCUUUUACUGAUGGGGAAAUUGAAAUUAAACAGUCUUCAGAGUUUCUUGCUCCACAAGAAGGCAGAAUCUCAAAAAAUGAGCAGUUUCACUCUUUGCUCUCUUUGCCUUGGUAGCCUAAUAUUUGCAGAAGAGUAUUAUGUUUGAUCAGAUAUUUUCCGUUACUUAGAACAAAAUCUCCACUAGUAAAUCUUUAAAGAGAAAUUUAAUUUUUUUUUAAUCUGAGUUUUGGUCCUAGAAAGACAUGAUAAUAUCCCUUCUGUCUCCCAAUGCUGUGGAAAAAGCACAGUCACCAUCUGUUUUGUAGGACAUUGGAGCAGCAGAGAUGAUGCUGACUGAUUCAUCCAGGACUGGUUCAACAGCAGUGUCAGAAAAAUGGCCAGGACCCUGACUGUGUGGCCUGCUCUAGGGGCUGGAGCAAGACUCUGGGUUGUGAAUGGUAAGCAGAAUUGCAAGAGCGGGAUUUGAUAUUUAGCUGACUAAAUUCCACAAAGUCUGAUGAAGCUAAUGCAAAUGAGGUGCAUGGAUUGUAAUAGUCCCUGCAGAAUGAAAGAUGGAAAUGAAGCAUGUCACAACUAUGAGAGGUAUAAAAAGGCUCCUUUUUGGUGGGCGAAGAAGUCUUUGCAGAUGGAAAACACUCCAGUCUACGACCUCCACUCCGCUGAUCCAGAAAUAUACUUUUGUUAUUCUUAAGAUAUUGUGUCUUUGAGAAGAGACAUAUCAGCUUUAUCUCCACGUUCCCAGAUCCCUUUCACUGCAGCCUGAGAAGGGGAAGGACGUGUGCAAAGGUGUGACAUUUGAAUCUCAAGCAAGUGGGAGAGGGUUUUUUAUUUUAAAAUGAAGGAGGGAGAAAAGCUCACCAAUCUGACUCCAUAGAAGGCCUUUUGUAUGAAACCUGCUCCGUGAAGUUUGGGGGUUAUUUCAUUACUUUUUGAAUACAUUUUCACAAUUUAUGUUUAAAAAUUUUAUGCCCAGGUAAUAAUAUGAAAGGACUAUUAUAUUUUUAUUGAGAAAACCAAAACAAACUGGCCCCCUAAUGUCUUUGUUUUUGGCAAAAGGUGCUAAUUUGAUUUACUUUGUGUUUCUGGUUUCUUUUAAUAGAGAUUUGUGUUUCUGGUCAACUUUGUUAUACAUCUACAUCAAUGCAGGCAGUGUGUAGUAAUAAGAAAGAGAAAAAUAAGGAUCUAUUUUCAUAACUCUCAGAAGAAUUUUCUAAAAACUUGUCUUUCUGCUUUCUAGUUAAUUGAAAUUUUCUUCCCUUGAUGCACUACUUUCAAGGGCAAAACCAAAGGGCAUUUUCUGAGCUCAGUUCCCAUGAAGAAAUGUGCAUGUUUGUCACUGCCCACUGCCUGCAAAUGUAUCUUCUGAAGAUCCUUCCUGGCUUUUGUCAAAUAUGUUUGUUUUGAUUUUUUUUUUUUUAAUCAACUGUUUUCUCAGUUGUUUUACUUAUGCAGUUUAACAUGCACACAAAGAGCUGUAUGUUAACUAUAACUUGAAAUUACCACAUAGCCAAAUCUCUCUUAAUGUA